AACGUGUUGAGCACGAGCUACAGUGUUAAUCUCUUUCACAGUUUCCUCCAACUCCAUUGCUGUUUCAUCAGAUUCCACUGCCUUUUACUGCCUUUAAGGAGACGCGCAGCUACUUGUCGAACCAAGGAGAUGAGCGCAGUGCCUUUUUAUGCAGUAAACACCUCUACCCGCUCCCUCGAGAGCCCAAAGAACAGGAGACAGCUUUUAUCCACGGACCAAGUUGAAGGGAAGACCAGAAGCAGCUCUUUUACAACUGCAGGGACAGUAGCUACUAGCUCUCCUCUGGCCAGAGCCAGAACCUCUUCUUAUGGAAACUACUUGCAUAAAGAUCUGAAACAUACCUUGGAUUCCUUCAGGCAGUAGAUCUAAAGUGGCGGCCUCUUGUAUUCAUAAUCUUCAAGCAUAAUGACUUUAUUGCAGACUCGAUGCAUUAUCACGACAAUCCUUCUCUCUCUCUCUCUCUCUCUCUCGUGCAGCUAUUUUGUAUGAGUAAUAAUGUCCGACUCACUUAAAAGGUGUAAUGCCAUGCAAAUAUUUGUAAUGUCUGUAACAUACAACCCCUAACCUUGUCACCAAUUUUUUAUAUGUAUUCUAUGUAUUUCAUAUUAAUGAAAAUACUGUAAUUGUUAUUAUUAUUCUUAUAAUUCUUAUUGUUAUUUCAACCUGAGUUUUGUGGCUAGACAGCUCAGGAAAUCCUUAUCUAAUUUAAAAAGUGUUGAAUACC